CGCACCGAGCACCGGCCGGCGGCGCUGCCGGCACCCCGGGGACGCAGGCUCCCUGCUAGACGCGCACUGGGAUCCGGGGCGCACCUCGGGGCUGAGGACAAACAAACACGCGUGAGACUGAGCGCAGGACCCCAUACGGCGCGCUCGCCGCACCCCCACCCCGACCCCAGCCGGGCACUGUGGAUGGAUGGAUGGAUGCGUGCACAGCUCCGGCCCCAGAAAUAAACUUGCCCCUCGAUGGCACUGACGCCGCCGAGGCCGCUGACGUGCCCCCCGCUACCCCACCCCAACCUGAGGUCGAGGGAGGGGAGAUAGAGCAAGGGUCCCCGAGACGGGAUUCCAUGGCACAGGCCCGGCGAAGGACCCUUCAAAGGGGGACGCGGAGACCGCCGGCGGCGGCGAUGGCUCCGCGACGGGGCCCCCGAUGAUGCUGCAGAAUCCGCCACGGCCGCCGGGCGCAGGGGGUGCGGGCAGGUGGCGUGGCGCGUCCCACCUGGGGAGCACCCCCGGCCGCCCCGGGGGGUGGGGGAGAGCGAGGGCCAAGGCGCCGGAGGGCACUGUCCGCGCUGCUCACCCGGGCUCCGGCGCCUACCGCCCGCCGGCGGCGCCUGGGUGCAGGCUCCUCCUGCCGCCGGGCACGGAGCGCCGAGAGCGCGAGCGAAGGAGCGAGCGAGGCUCCUGCUCCAACCCAAUUCCGGGAGCCGCCGCCGCCGCCUCUGCUACUGCUGGCGAAGUGACGUGAAGGCUGACGCAGAGCAGGGGCAGAAACUCCAGAAAAUUAGUCUGAAAUCCAAAAACACACACGCUCAUACACACACAAACCCAUAACACCCUCCAGACAAAAGCAACAGGGAGGGGAGGGGAAUCUGGGGGCGAGCGGGGAGGAGGCAGGCAUCGGUGCCACUGGCCAGGAGCAGACAGCAGCAGCAUGUGGGAGUUCAUACACGCGCACACACGCACACAUCCUGGCUGGGUAGACGCGCGCGCCUGUGUGUGUGUGUGUGUGUGUGUGUGUGUGUGUGCACUGAGAGCCAGGUACCUCCGAGAUGGACCAUUCCACCGCCCGACGCCUCUCAGUCCCUAAUUCGCACCGCGGUCUCUUCUCCCAUCGCAGUAGAGCUUGUCUCCUUUUUUGAAAUGGAAACCGGGCUCGGUUCAGCUCUGAAAAAUGCGCUGAUUCUUAUUAUAGGAAUCCUCCCUCCCCUCUCCCACCCCGCUGCGUGCUCCUUUCCCAUCCUGCCUAAAAGGGAGGGCGAGCUGGCCUAAAAAUAAAUAAAUAUUGUAAACACCAAAACGUGCUCGGCAUCGGUAGCCAAGGAUAACCGCCCCUAUUCCGGGCCAUCUAUUUGAGGAUCCAUGGUUUUGGAGGGUCUUCCUGUUGGUGCUUUUGCAGAGGGAGGGGAGUCUCCAAAUGCAACUCUAGCUCCCUAAGUGGGUCUUUCUCCUGCCGUGUUCCGGCAUCACACGCCCGGGAAACAGAGACAUGUGAGGGGAAGGGAGCGCGCCUGACGCUUAUCGGGUUCCCUAAAUGCGCCGCAGCAACCCUGGCCUGUCCGAUGUGUGGCGCCGCGUCAUUUUCUCUCCUCCUUCAACCUGGCAGGAUUCAGCGGUUCCCAGGUCGUCGCUUCACUCCCCGCGAUGCCCACCCCCGCCCCCGCGGGGCACCCCGAGCCCUUGCUCCCCUGCCGUACCUUGCGCGUUUUCGUGUGUGCGCGGGUGUGCGCGAACGCGUGCCCUGCGCCCGCGCUGCCCAGAGCACGACAGGCUUCCAGCUACCGACAAGCCCGGCGCGGGCAGAGCCUCGGGGUCUCACUAGGGACACACGAGGCGAUCCGGGAGGGUCGAGUGACACACCGUAACUGCUCUGCGGGCGCAGUUAAAUGAUGGCUGCGGGGCAUUCGCAAGCCUUGCCUGAGAAUCCGUCUUCCCAUUUGCGGCUCCGAGAGUCUGUUUUUCCGCAGUCAUUUAAAAGGGAACUGGGAAAAAUGCACCGCAGUGCCCGACACUUGCGAGAGCUCUGGUGCCCCCGCGCGGGGAGAGAGCGCCCCGCACGCUCCGGAGCACCAACCCACGGCCGCGGCCCGGGCGGGCACUGCGCGGGGGGCGCGCUCUGGCGCCAGAUGUGCAACCAGCGGCGCCCCACGCGUGCGCGCCCCUGCUCGGCCGGCGCUGAGAGGCCGAGAGCCUGGCCUCGCCGAGCUCCCUCCCCGCCAAAAGGCGGCCAGCGCUCAGCUCCAGAGAGGGCGACCGGAUGGGAUCUGGUCCAAAGGAUAAGAACGGUCACCGAUCUGCUCGCAGAGGCUGAGCGUGGGAAGUAUCCAGAAAACCUGCACGUCAAGGUGAAUGCUUACAGCUCAGUGAUGCCUUAAAUAUUACAAGGGAAUACAGAAAGCAUCUGGUGGGCUUUUGUACCGACCCGGGGCGCCGAGCGUAACCGCGGGAACCCUCGCGCAGCGGCCCCAAGAUCUCUUCGCAGGGCCCGAAGACGAGGCCGGCAGGUCUGCGUGUCUCCACCAUCACUCGGCUGUGACACGCACGCAUCGGGGGGCUGAACCGCCAGGCUGAAGUUCAUGCCUCAGCUCGGCCCCCAGCCCCUGCCGGGCGAGGACGAGGACGCGCCAAGGAAGGAAAGGCAAGGGCAAAGGCAAGUCUUGGUCCUGGACACACAGUAAGACUCUCCCGCCCGUCUUGCCAGUGCCCUGGAUGGAGCUGCCCCUGCGGAACGCCUGGGGGAGGGGUUUGUCCUUACCUACAUGGUCAAAGCUGUCUCAUCAGCCUGCAGGAAGGAAAGAGGAUAGGAAACGGCAGGCAAACAAUUUCCUUCUGAGGAAAUAAUGGGUGAAAAAGAAAUAACGAAAGCUAAGUUCCUACCAAAGAUUCAUUCACAAACUCAUCUGUCAACUUACAUUGUUGGAUCACUUAGCCCUAUCUUCAUUAUCUACAGUAUUCAACAAGGAAAACUGACAUUCAAAUGCAAGGAAUGUUUGUAAUAUUCAUGAUAUGUGCAUGGUGGACACUCCAAAACACCAGAUGAAACUAAUAAAAUAAUGGAAAUAA